rnacentral:rRNA from 1 species
UACGGAGGGUGCAAGCGUUAUCCGGAUUUACUGGGUUUAAAGGGUGUGUAGGCGGGCCUUUAAGUCUGGGGUGAAAUCUCCGAGCUCAACUCGGAAACUGCCCUGGAUACUAUCGGCCUUGAAUUAUGUUGAGGUCGGCGGAAUAUAACAUGUAGCGGUGAAAUGCAUAGAUAUGUUAUAGAACACCGAUUGCGAAGGCAGCUGACUAAGCAUAUAUUGACGCUGAGGCACGAAAGCGUGGGGAUCAAACAGG